rnacentral:rRNA from 1 species
AGUGAACGCUGGCGGUAGGCCUAACACAUGCAAGUCGAACGGCAGCACAGUAAGAGCUUGCUCUUACGGGUGGCGAGUGGCGGACGGGUGAGGAAUACAUCGGAAUCUACUUUUUCGUGGGGGAUAACGUAGUGAAACUUACGCUAAUACCGCAUACGACCUACGGGUGAAAGCAGGUGAUCUUCGGACCUUGCGCUAUUGAAUGAGCCGAUGUCGGAUUAGCUAGUUGGCGGGGUAAAGGCCCACCAAGGCGACGAUCCGUAGCUGGUCUGAGAGGAUGAUCAGCCACACUGGAACUGAGACACGGUCCAGACUCCUACGGGAGGCAGCAGUGGGGAAUAUUGGACAAUGGGCGCAAGCCUGAUCCAGCCAUACCGCGUGGGUGAAGAAGGCCUUCGGGUUGUAAAGCCCUUUUGUUGGGAAAGAAAAGCAGCAGGUUAAUACCCCGCUGUUCUGACGGUACCCAAAGAAUAAGCACCGGCUAACUUCGUG